UGGUUAGUGAAGCAGUUUAAAUACCCUGAACCCAGGUGACUCCUGGAGGAGCAGAGAGAGAGAGAGAGGUGGUUAGUGAAGCAGUUUAAAUACCCUGAUCCCAGGUGACUCCUGGAGGAGCAGAGAGAGAGAGAGAGAGGUGGUUAGUGAAGCAGUUUAAAUACCCUGAUCCCAGGUGACUCCUGGAGGAGCAGAGAGAGAGAGAGAGAGGUGGUUAGUGAAGCAGUUUAAAUACCCUGAUCCCAGGUGACUCCUGGAGGAGCAGAGAGAGAGAGAGAGGUGGUUAGUGAAGCAGUUUAAAUACCCUGAACCCAGGUGACUCCUGGAGGAGCAGAGAGAGAGAGAGAGAGGUGGUUAGUGAAGCAGUUUAAAUACCCUGAUCCCAGGUGACUCCUGGAGGAGCAGAGAGAGAGAGAGAGAGGUGGUUAGUGAAGCAGUUUAAAUACCCUGAUCCCAGGUGACUCCUGGAGGAGCAGAGAGAGAGAGAGAGAGGUGGUUAGUGAAGCAGUUUAAAUACCCUGAUCCCAGGUGACUCCUGGAGGAGCAGAGAGAGAGAGAGAGAGGUGGUUAGUGAAGCAGUUUAAAUACCCUGAUCCCAGGUGACUCCUGGAGGAGCAGAGAGAGAGAGAGAGAGAGGUGGUUAGUGAAGCAGUUUAAAUACCCUGAACCCAGGUGACUCCUGGAGGAGCAGAGAGAGAGAGAGAGAGGUGGUUAGUGAAGCAGUUUAAAUACCCUGAUCCCAGGUGACUCCUGGAGGAGCAGAGAGAGAGAGAGAGAGAGGUGGUUAGUGAAGCAGUUUAAAUACUCUGAACCCAGGUGACUCCCGGAGGAGCAGAGAGAGAGAGAGAGAGAGGUGGUUAGUGAAGCAGUUUAAAUACCCUGAGCCCAGGUGACUCCUCCAAUCACUAACGACCCUCCUCUGCUUGCAGGAGGAAUCGCCCCUGCACUGCAGAGGAGGGGCCGUGACACUAUAUAGUGCACUAUUUAGCACCCUAU